rnacentral:rRNA from 1 species
UACGGAGGAUGCAAGCGUUAUCCGGAAUGAUUGGGCGUAAAGCGUCCGCAGGUGGCAAUGUAAGUCUGCUGUGAAAGAGUCUAGCUCAACUAGAUAAAAGCAGUGGAAACUACAUAGCUAGAGUACGUACGGGGCAGAGGGAAUUCCUGGUGUAGCGGUGAAAUGCGUAGAGAUCAGGAAGAACACCGGUGGCGAAGGCGCUCUGCUAGGCCGUAACUGACACUGAGGGACGAAAGCUAGGGGAGCGAAAGGG